UACGAAGGGUGCAAGCGUUACUCGGAAUUACUGGGCGUAAAGCGUGCGUAGGUGGUUCGUUAAGUCUGAUGUGAAAGCCCUGGGCUCAACCUGGGAACUGCAUUGGAAACUGGCUUACUAGAGUGCGGUAGUGGGGUGUGGAAUUCCCGGUGUAGCAGUGAAAUGCGUAGAUAUCUGCAGGAACACCCGUGGCGAAAGCGGCGCGCUGGACCACUACUGACGCUGAGGAACGAAAGCUAGGGGAGCAAACAGG
rnacentral:rRNA from 1 species